rnacentral:rRNA from 1 species
AACGAACGCUGGCGGCAUGCCUAACACAUGCAAGUCGAACGAGACCCCGACUUCGGUCGGACGUCUAGUGGCGCACGGGUGCGUAACGCGUGGGAAUCUGCCCUUGGGUUCGGGAUAACAGUUGGAAACGACUGCUAAUACCGGAUGAUGACUUCGGUCCAAAGAUUUAUCGCCCAGGGAUGAGCCCGCGUAGGAUUAGCUAGUUGGUGAGGUAAAGGCUCACCAAGGCGACGAUCCUUAGCUGGUUUGAGAGGAUGAUCAGCCACACUGGGACUGAGACACGGCCCAGACUCCUACGGGAGGCAGCAGUGGGGAAUAUUGGACAAUGGGCGAAAGCCUGAUCCAGCAAUGCCGCGUGAGUGAUGAAGGCCUUAGGGUUGUAAAGCUCUUUUACCCGGGAUGAUAAUGACAGUACGGGGAGAAUAAGCCCCGGCUAACUCCGUG